GCAGAGCACUCUACGGGAGGCAGCAGUGGGGAAUAUUGCACAAUGGGCGCAAGCCUGAUGCAGCCAUGCCGCGUGUAUGAAGAAGGCCUUCGGGUUGUAAAGUACUUUCAGCAGUGUAGGAAGGUGGGUAUGUUAAUAGCAUAUUCAUUUGACGUUAGCUGCAGAAGAAGCACCGGCUAACUCCGUGCCAGCAGCCGCGGUAAUACGGAGGGUGCGAGCGUUAAUCGGAAUUACUGGGCGUAAAGCGCAUGCAGGUGGUUUGUUAAGUCAGAUGUGAAAGCCCGGGCUCAACCUCGGAAUUGCAUUUGAAACUGGCAAACUAGAGUACUGUAGAGGGGGUAGAAUUUCAGGUGUAGCGGUGAAAUGCGUAGAGAUCUGAAGGAAUACCGGUGGCGAAGGCGGCCCCCUGGACAGAUACUGACACUCAGAUGCGAAAGCGUGGGGAGCAAACAGGAUUACAUACCCUGGUAG
rnacentral:rRNA from 1 species